GGUUCUGUGGCGCAAUGGUUAGCGCAUCGCCUUGUCAGGGCGGGGGUUGCGGGUUCAAGUCCCGUCAGGAUCG
rnacentral:tRNA from 1 species